rnacentral:rRNA from 1 species
CACUCCUGCGGGAGGCAGCAGUGGGGAAUAUUGGACAAUGGGCGCAAGCCUGAUCCAGCCAUGCCGCGUGAGUGAUGAAGGCCCUAGGGUUGUAAAGCUCUUUUGUGCGGGAAGAUAAUGACGGUACCGCAAGAAUAAGCCCCGGCUAACUUCGUGCCAGCAGCCGCGGUAAUACGAAGGGGGCUAGCGUUGCUCGGAAUCACUGGGCGUAAAGGGUGCGUAGGCGGGUCUUUAAGUCAGGGGUGAAAUCCUGGAGCUCAACUCCAGAACUGCCUUUGAUACUGAAGAUCUUGAGUUCGGGAGAGGUGAGUGGAACUGCGAGUGUAGAGGUGAAAUUCGUAGAUAUUCGCAAGAACACCAGUGGCGAAGGCGGCUCACUGGCCCGAUACUGACGCUGAGGCACGAAAGCGUGGGGAGCAAACAGGAUUAGAAACCCGAGUAGUCC